rnacentral:rRNA from 1 species
UGGGGAAUAUUGGACAAUGGGCGAAAGCCUGAUCCAGCCAUGCCGCGUGUGUGAAGAAGGCCUUUUGGUUGUAAAGCACUUUAAGUGGGGAGGAAAAGCUUAUGGUUAAUACCCAUAAGCCCUGACGUUACCCACAGAAUAAGCACCGGCUAACUCUGUGCCAGCAGCCGCGGUAAUACAGAGGGUGCAAGCGUUAAUCGGAAUUACUGGGCGUAAAGCGCGCGUAGGUGGUUAUUUAAGUCAGAUGUGAAAGCCCCGGGCUUAACCUGGGAACUGCAUCUGAUACUGGAUAACUAGAGUAGGCGAGAGGGGAGUAGAAUUCCAGGUGUAGCGGUGAAAUGCGUAGAGAUCUGGAGGAAUACCGAUGGCGAAGGCAGCUCCCUGGCAUCAUACUGACACUGAGGUGCGAAAGCGUGGGUAGCAAACAGGAUUAGAUACCCUGGUAGUCCACGCUGUAAACGAUGUCUACCAGUCGUUGGGUCUUUUAAAGACUUAGUGACGCAGUUAACGCAAUAAGUAGACCGCCUGGGGAGUACGGCCGCAAGGUUA